rnacentral:rRNA from 1 species
GUCUACAGCCAUGCUACCCUGAACAAGCCCCGUGUCUGAUCUCGGAAGCUAAGCAGGGUCAGGCCUGGUUAGUAGUUGGAUGGGAGACCACCUAGGAAGACCAGGUGCCAUAGGCA